AUACGUAGGGGGCGAGCGUUGUCCGGAAUGAUUGGGCGUAAAGGGCGCGUAGGCGGCCUGUUAAGUCUGGAGUGAAAGUCCUGUUUUCAAGAUGGGAAUUGCUUUGGAUACUGAUGGGCUUGAGUGCAGGAGAGGUUAUCGGAAUUCCCGGUGUAGCGGUGAAAUGCGUAGAGAUCGGGAGGAACACCAGUGGCGAAGGCGGGUAACUGGACUGCAACUGACGCUGAGGCGCGAAAGUGUGGGGAGCAAACAGGAUUAGAUACCCUGGUAGUCCACACUGUAAACGAUGAAUGCUAGGUGUAAGAGGUAUCGACCCCUUUUGUGCCGGAGUUAACACAAUAAGCAUUCCGCCUGGGGAGUACGGCCGCAAGGUUGAAACUCAAAGGAAUUGACAGGG
rnacentral:rRNA from 1 species